GGAGCUUGCGGCUUAAUUUGACUCAACACGGGAAAACUCACCCGGACCGGACACUAUGAGGAUAGACAGAUUGAUAGCUCUUUCUUGAUUUGGUGGUUAGUGGUGCAUGGCCGUUCUUAGUUCGUGGUAUGAAUUGUCUGGUUAAUUCCGAUAACGAACGAGAUUCUAAUCUGCUAAAUAGGCCACGUGUAAUUUUGUGUGGCGUCUUCGUUGAUUGGCUUCGGCUGGUCUCGAAGUGCUAUACGAGCAUGUGGAACUUCUUAGAGAGAUUGGUGAAUAUCCAAGUCACAAGAGAGAGAGCAAUAACAGGUCUGUGAUGCCCUUAGAUGUUCGGGGCCGCACGCGUGCUACACUGACAGUGGUAGAGAGUUUGGUAUUCCUCAGGCGAAAGCUGGGGGCAAACUUUUCAAUUACUGUCGUGCCUGGGAUCGGGGUUUGUAACUAUCCCCCGUGAACCAGGAAUUCCUAGUAAGCUCAAUUCAUCAGAU
rnacentral:rRNA from 1 species